rnacentral:rRNA from 1 species
GACGAACGCUGGCGGCGUGCUUAACACAUGCCAGUCGAACGGGUCUGCCCUGUUUUUUGCGGGGUGGGUCAGUGGCGAACGGGUGAGUAACACGUGAGUAACCUGCCCCUCACUUCUGGAUAACCGCUUGAAAGGGUGGCUAAUACGGGGUGUUCUGGCUGUGCCGCAUGGUGUGGCUGGGAAAGAUUCACUUUUGUGGUGUUUUGGUGGGGGAUGGGCUCGCGGCCUAUCAGCUUGUUGGUGGGGUGAUGGCCUGCCAAGGCUUUGACGGGUAGCCGGCCUGAGAGGGUGGGCGGUCACACUGGGACUGAGAUACGGCCCAGACUCCUGCGGGAGGCAGCAGUGGGGGGUAUUGCACAAUGGGCGGAAGCCUGAUGCAGCGACGUCGCGUGAGGGAUGGAGGCCUUCGGGUUGUGAACCUCUUUCGCCGGUGAAGAAGGUCCUGCUCUUUGUGGUGGGGUUGACGGUAGCCGGGUUAUGAAGCGCCGGCUAACUACGUG